UACCCACCGGUACACGUUGCUCGCGACACGGCAUUUCACGUAGUUUAUAGGACAGGUCUAAGAGUCCUUCCUCUCCGACCGCAUUGUGUUAAAAGAUCAUAUCCACAUAAAUAAGUCUCGAUAGAGUUGUACGCAAAAAGAGAAUGGUUCCAACUGGAACGGGAACUACGCCAGGAAACUGCGGAGCGUCUGCUUGUGCUAGAUUAAGACACGGGCAUAUUUAUCUGUGACACGGGACAAAAUGUUUUGAAACAAAAAGAAUUUAGUGUGUCUCUGAGUACCUCGAGGCGUCGAAACAACGCCGCCGUGUUUCAUGUAUGCCUUAUAAAUAUAUAAUUAUGAAAAAAAUACGCAUCGCCAAAUUCAGACGGCCAUCUGGCACUGAGGUGUAAAAGUAACAAGUGCUUAAGAGAACCGCCUGACAACUGUGAAACUGAAAGUAACCCAUUGUCUUUAAAUGCGCAAAUAAAUCUUGUUGCAUUGA
rnacentral:lncRNA from 1 species